rnacentral:misc_RNA from 1 species
UGGCUAAAAUGUUAGCCCCUCCUCCUGAUGAGGGAACUCGAGAUGCGACAGCUCUAGAACCUGAGGGAAAACAAAGAUACCUUCUCUCUUUAGAGAACAGAUUGAAGAAACUGGAGGGAAGGGAUGGACAGCUAACAUCAAAAGACAUGCUCUCGGCUCUAUCUGAAGCACGUGAUGAUCAUCUCUCCAGAAGCACUGAGCCUUCGUCCAAUGGCAGCUCUUUUAUUAACGACUCGGCUGAGAGAUGGGAAUGGGAGGAGAGUGACGUGAGGGAUCGUGGUGGGUUUGUAUCUACUUAUUGCUGUUGGUGUGGUGGGCGUGGUUAUCUCAGGGGAAGACAAGGGGAGUUCAAAAUUGAGGAGUACUCGUGUCUUUUGGACUGCGACGAACUCGACUUGAGUAGUAAUGAAAAUACCACUAGCCCUUCUCAAUUGGGAGAGAGCCAGGAAUCGGCUCGUGAUGAUCAACCAGUAGCUAGUAGUGGGGACACUGCUAAUGGCUUCACUGAUAAUUUUGUGUCAUAAUUUUUUAGACAUUUUGAUUUAUAUACUUGUCGCUCACUUUUGAUUUUUGUUUGUACAUAAUAACAAGAGUAUAUAAUAAGUAUUAUAUAAGUAUUAUAUACUCUUGAUAGUAACAAUAGUUUUAAAGGUUUAAGCUUUAAAUUUACGGGAGUGUCUUUGUAGUGUACGGACUACCGUAUUUUGUCACUAAAAAUGGAGCUUGAGGAGAAAGAUCCCAGUCCCGAGGAUAUAAAAUGGAUAUUCUCGGCCGAAGUCCUAGAGCACCUCACUCCAUCCCGUAAGAAAGGGAUCAGUCACGAAAUGGAGAGACGGUACAGAAGAGAGGGAGCCAGAUUCAUCAGCAACACGAGCAAUACACUCAAACUACGUCGCGAUACUUUAGCUACUGGGACUGUCUUUUUUCAUCGCUUUUACAUGGUUCAAAAUUUCGCCGAUUUUGAUAAAUACGUUGUAGCAGCUGCCUGUGUCCUCCUUGCUGGUAAAGUUGAAGAGACUCCAAAGAAGUGCAAGGACAUUGUACGAGUGGCCAAACGAUUUCUAUCUGCAGAGCAAUCGAAAUCCUUUGGAGAGAAACCACUGGAAGAACUUAUUUCUUUCGAGAGAGUUCUUUUACAAACGAUAAGGUUUGAUUUGCAGGUUGAUCAUCCUUAUGGGUAUCUCUUGAAGUUUGCCAAGCACAUGAAAGGAGAAAAGCAAACAAUUGAGAAAGUGCUACAAAUGGCUUGGACAUUCAUUAAUGAUAGUCUCUGUACUACUCUUUGUCUUCAAUGGGAGCCUCCUGUCGUUGCUGUAGCUCUUCUCUAUCUGGCUGGUAAACUAUCAAAGUUUGAUCUCCAGAGUGCAUUCCAAGCUAAGAGUCGGUCUUGGUGGAGGCAGUUUGUCCUCACAGUUGAUGCCCAUGACCUGGAGUCUAUAUGUCAUCAAGUUUUGGACGUUUAUAGCGAAGAAGAGAAAGAGCAAGAGGCUAAGAAAGCAAAGACUGUAAUACAAGGAGAUCCUGUUCCUCCACAAGACAAUGCAUCAUCUCCCCCUCCACCUCCUCCCCCUACUAAUCACACUCACCACAAGCAGCACAUUACACCUCUUAAAGGACCUUCAUCAGGCCCCAGUACAUCCACUGCAUCAAAUAGCGGGAGCUACAUGACAGGAACUUCAUGUGCAACUGGAAUUGUGCAUGGAGCUGGUAUGGUGUUACCGCCAGGACAGAACAAUAUGAUGCUACCUGCUCCUCCUCCCCCUCACUCAAUGCUGCAUCCUACUCCUAGUGGCAGCUCUGUUAAUUCAUCCCCAAUGACUAACAAUCAUUACCAUUCCUCUUUACUGGGUCAGCCCCCUCAACCGUUUAUGCCUCAUGGAAUGAACUAUACACAGUCUCCAUCGCAGAUCCAGCUGUCUGCUGGAGGCCCAGUUGGCAUGGGGAGUCAGCUAAACCCAGUUUUGAUUUCUCCAGUUUGAAAGUGAUGCUUAGAUCAGACUCCCUGGUAGCAUUACCAACCAUGUAUCUCACCAGAGUUACUGAUGAUGACUCAGAAGGAUGAUCAAGCACAAUUGCUGGAUGCAUAAUGACGGAUGCCUUACUUGUACUUCAGUUGCAACUGUUG